rnacentral:rRNA from 1 species
UGGGGAAUUUUGGACAAUGGGCGAAAGCCUGAUCCAGCAAUGCCGCGUGUGUGAAGAAGGCCUUCGGGUUGUAAAGCACUUUUGUCCGGAAAGAAAUCCUUGGCUCUAAUACAGUCGGGGGAUGACGGUACCGGAAGAAUAAGCACCGGCUAACUACGUGCCAGCAGCCGCGGUAAUACGUAGGGUGCAAGCGUUAAUCGGAAUUACUGGGCGUAAAGCGUGCGCAGGCGGUUUGCUAAGACCGAUGUGAAAUCCCCGGGCUCAACCUGGGAACUGCAUUGGUGACUGGCAGGCUAGAGUAUGGCAGAGGGGGGUAGAAUUCCACGUGUGAGCAGUGAAAUGCGUAGAGAUGUGGAGGAAUACCGAUGGCGAAGGCAGCCCC